rnacentral:rRNA from 1 species
CGUCAAGUCAUCAUGGCCCUUACGCCCAGGGCUACACACGUGCUACAAUGGCUGGUACAAAGGGCAGCGAAGCCGCGAGGUGAAGCCAAUCCCAUAAAACCAUUCUCAGUUCGGAUUGCAGGCUGCAACUCGCCUGCAUGAAGCCGGAAUCGCUAGUAAUCGCGGAUCAGCAUGCCGCGGUGAAUACGUUCCCGGGCCUU